rnacentral:rRNA from 1 species
UGGGGAAUCUUGCACAAUGGGGGAAACCCUGAUGCAGCGACGCCGCGUGAGUGAUGAAGCCCUUCGGGGUGUAAAGCUCUUUCGACAGGAACGAUAAUGACGGUACCUGGAGAAGAAGCUGCGGCUAACUACGUGCCAGCAGCCGCGGUAAUACGUAGGCAGCAAACGUUGUUCGGAGUUACUGGGCGUAAAGAGUGCGUAGGCGGUUUGCCAAGUCUGGUGUGAAAUCUCCUGGCUUAACUGGGAGGGUGCGCCGGAUACUGGCAGGCUUGAGUGUGGGAGAGGAAAGCAGAAUUCCUGGUGUAGCGGUGAAAUGCGUAGAUAUCAGGAGGAAUACCUGUGGUGAAGACGGCUUUCUGGACCACAACUGACGCUGAGGCACGAAAGCGUGGGGAGCAAACAGGAUUAGAUACCCUUGUAGUCCCUGAGCGGGCUGGCAAGGCGCAU